ensembl:snoRNA
AGUAUUUAUACAAGAUUUUGCUGAACUUGUGAUCAAAAACUUAAAGGCAAGUGCAAAAAUAAAUCUUUGUUGGCAAUUCAGAAUUCAGUGUUCAAUAUGAGUUUGAUAUAUAUAAGUAGGCAGAUAUU